rnacentral:rRNA from 1 species
GAUGAACGCUGGCGGCGUGCCUAAUACAUGCAAGCCGAGCGAAUGGAUUAAGAGCUUGCUCUUAUGAAGUUAGCGGCGGACGGGUGAGUAACACGUGGGUAACCUGCCCAUAAGACUGGGAUAACUCCGGGAAACCGGGGCUAAUACCGGAUAACAUUUUGAACCGCAUGGUUCGAAAUUGAAAGGCGGCUUCGGCUGUCACUUAUGGAUGGACCCGCGUCGCAUUAGCUAGUUGGUGAGGUAACGGCUCACCAAGGCAACGAUGCGUAGCCGGCCUGAGAGGGUGAUCGGCCACACUGGGACUGAGACACGGCCCAGACUCCUACGGGAGGCAGCAGUAGGGAAUCUUCCGCAAUGGACGAAAGUCUGACGGAGCAACGCCGCGUGAGUGAUGAAGGCUUUCGGGUCGUAAAACUCUGUUGUUAGGGAAGAACAAGUGCUAGUUGAAUAAGCUGACACCUUGACGGUACCUAACCAGAAAGCCACGGCUAACUACGUGCCAGCCGCCGCCGUAA